rnacentral:lncRNA from 11 species
CCCUUCUGGAUUUCAGACAAGAAUCCUUCCAGUUCUAGAUACCAAGGAAUGAACUGGGGACAAAAGGUAGAAUCAACAUCAACACCAAAAACACCAAAAGGUUUACAGGGACAUGGAAGAGUAGAAUGAAAAGAAUUACCAGAGAAGGUUUCAGAAGACACAAAUACGUAGCUGUUUGGUUGUAUGGCAAGAUCACAACUACCUUCUGCAUCUGUGAAUAUCUCAUAAGUGCAAAAGACAACACAAUUG